rnacentral:rRNA from 1 species
CCUGGUUUAUCCUUCCUGUAGUCAUAUGCUUGUCUCAAAGAUUAAGCCAUGCAUGUGUAAGUAUGAACAAAUUCAGACUGUGAAACUGCGAAUGGCUCAUUAAAUCAGUUAUAGUKUGUUUGAUGGUAUCUACUACUCGGAUAACCGUAGUAAUUCUAGAKCUAAUACRUGCAACAAACCCCGACUUCUGGAAGGGAUGCAUUUAUUAGAUAAAAGGUCGACGCGGGCUCUGCCCGUUGCUGCGAUGAUUCAUGAUAACUCGACGGAUCGCACGGCCAUCGUGCUGGCGACACAUCAUUCAAAUUUUUGCCCUAUCAACUUUUGAUGGUUAGGAUAGUGGCCUACCAUGGUGGUGACGGRUGACGGAGAAUUAGGGUUCGAUUUCGGAGAGGGAGCCUGAGAAACGGCUACCACAUCCAAGGAAGUCAGCAGGUGCCAAUCCAGACACGGGGAGGUAGUGACAAUAAAUAACAAUAYCGGGCUCUAUGAGUCUGGUAAUUGGAAUGAGUACAAUAUAAAUCCCUUAACGAGGAUCCAUUGGAGGGCAAGCCUGGAGCAAGAAGCCGCGGUAAUUCCAGCUCCAAAAGUGUAUAUUUAAGUUGUUUCAGUUAAAAAGCUCGUAGUUGGACUUUGGGAUGGGCCGGCCGGUCCGCCCUAGGUGUGCACCGAUCGUCUCGUCCCUUCUAUCGGCGAUGCGCUCCUGGCCUUAAUUGGCCGGGUCGUGCCUCCGGCGCUGUUACUUUGAAGAAAUUAGAGUGCUCAAAGUAAUCCUACUGUCACGGACAUAGAGUAAUCGCUAAGACUCCAUGCGGCACUUGACAAUUUACUCACGAUUCUUUCACGAUCUCGUAAGCUCAAGUAAGCCUUUACUAUUCACAACACUUAGAGAAUAAGAAGAAAGACGGAGAAAGAUUUUGGAAGAGAGGACUUGUACUUUAUUAUUCAGUUAAUGGAUGAUUCACUAAUACAAUGACCCUCUCAUUUAUACUACUCCCUAAGCCUAAGAGUAAAUAAAUGCUACUAUACAAGUCCCUAAGUACAUGUACUCUAAUACAUGUUCUACAUUCCUAGAAUAUGUCUCUAGCUCUUAAAAAAGGAUCCUAGAAUUUUCUAGUCUGCCCCAAGAUUCUAGAAGGCUCUAGAGUUUUGCACAAGCCUCUCCA